UACGUAGGGGGCGAGCGUUGUCCGAAGUUACUGGGCGUAAAGCGCUCGUAGGCGGGUUGGCACGUCUGCUGUGAAAGCCCGGGGCUUAACUCCGGCGGUUCGGUGGAUACUGCCAGUCUUGAAGGUGCUAGGGAGAGAUGGAAUUACCGGUGUAGCGGUGAAAUGCGUAGAUAUCGGUAGGAACACCAGUGGCGAAGGCGGUCUCUUGGGGCAUACUUGACGCUGAGGCGCGAAAGCUGGGGGAGCGAACGGG
rnacentral:rRNA from 1 species